rnacentral:tRNA from 1 species
UUAGGGAGACCUCCCAACUCAAUGGAUUGAACAGAAGCGAGACUGGGAACAGUCGAGUUUGCAAGUAAGUUCAGAGUUGGUCAUCCCAAAGGUCGUUCAGAUAUACGUGUUGGCUUCCAAGCUAUUUGGUUCGGUUCAUGGGCUAUUAGCUCAGGUGGUUAGAGCGCACCCCUGAUAAGGGUGAGGUCCCUGGUUCGAGUCCAGGAUGGCCCACCUUUACAAACAUAAGGGGGUUUAGCUCAGUUGGUAGAGCGCCUGCUUUGCAAGCAGGAUGUCAACGGUUCGAGUCCGUUAACCUCCACUGAGAGAUUAAGUUGAGAUUGAGCCAGAGCCAACGGAAGUUAGAAAACAACUUCAGCAAUUAUUCUUGUAUAAAGCUACAGGGAUAUCUGCUGGAUUUAGAUUCAGCAACGAACCUUGAAAACUGCAUAGAGAAGAAUGUCAGGUAGAAACGAUAGUUUCGAGCAAUAGACAGAAGAAUGGCGAAGCGAUUUGCUGUUUGAUGUUUGUUGUUAGGGACGAAUCAAAUACAGACACCAAUGUAAGUUUGCGAAAAAGU